AGUGAACGCUGGCGGUAGGCCUAACACAUGCAAGUCGAACGGCAGCACAGUAAGAGCUUGCUCUUACGGGUGGCGAGUGGCGGACGGGUGAGGAAUACAUCGGAAUCUACUUUUUCGUGGGGGAUAACGUAGGGAAACUUACGCUAAUACCGCAUACGACCUACGGGUGAAAGCAGGGGAUCUUCGGACCUUGCGCGAUUGAAUGAGCCGAUGUCGGAUUAGCUAGUUGGCGGGGUAAAGGCCCACCAAGGCGACGAUCCGUAGCUGGUCUGAGAGGAUGAUCAGCCAAACUGGAACUGAGACACGGUCCAGACACCGACGGGAGGCAGCAGUGGGGAAUAUUGGACAAUGGGCGCAAGCCUGAUCCAGCCAUACCGCGUGGGUGAAGAAGGCCUUCGGGUUGUAAAGCCCUUUUGUUGGGAAAGAAAAGCAGCAGGUUAAUACCCCGCUGUUCGGACGGUACCCAAAGAAUAAGCACCGGCUAACUUCGU
rnacentral:rRNA from 1 species